CAACGCUCGUCGCUAAUACCGAUUGAAUGGUUUAGUGAGGUCGUUAAAUUGGCGUCGUUAUAGUGGCUUUGCCGCUCGACUAAUGCUGAAAAGAUGACCUAAUUUGACUAUCUAGAGGAAGUAGAAGUUGUAACAAGGUUUCCAUAGGUGAAUUUGCGAAAG
rnacentral:ncRNA from 1 species